rnacentral:rRNA from 1 species
GACGAACGCUGGCGGCGUGCCUAAUACAUGCAAGUCGAGCGAAGUUUUUCUGGUGCUUGCACUAGAAAAACUUAGCGGCGAACGGGUGAGUAACACGUAAAGAACCUGCCUCAUAGACUGGGACAACUAUUGGAAACGAUAGCUAAUACCGGAUAACAGUAUUUCUCGCAUGAGAGAUAUUUAAAAGUUGGUUAUGCUAACACUAUGAGAUGGCUUUGCGGUGCAUUAGCUAGUUGGUGGGGUAAAGGCCCACCAAGGCGACGAUGCAUAGCCGACCUGAGAGGGUGAUCGGCCACACUGGGACUGAGACACGGCCCAGACUCCUACGGGAGGCAGCAGUAGGGAAUCUUCCGCAAAGGGCGAAAGCCUGACGGAGCAACGCCGCGUGAGUGAAGAAGGAUUUUGGUUCGUAAAGCUCUGUUGUUAGGGAAGAAUGGAUAUGUAGUAACUAUACAUGUAAGAGACGGUACCUAACCAGAAAGCCACGGCUAACUACGUG